UGGGGAAUUUUGGACAAUGGGCGCAAGCCUGAUCCAGCAAUGCCGCGUGCAGGAUGAAGGCCUUCGGGUUGUAAACCGCUUUUGUCAGGGAAGAAACGAGUUUCUCUAAUACAGAGACUUAAUGACGGUACCUGAAGAAUAAGCACCGGCUAACUACGUGCCAGCAGCCGCGGUAAUACGUAGGGUGCGAGCGUUAAUCGGAAUUACUGGGCGUAAAGCGUGCGCAGGCGGUUAUAUAAGACAGAUGUGAAAUCCCCGGGCUCAACCUGGGACCUGCAUUUGUGACUGUAUAGCUAGAGUACGGUAGAGGGGGAUGGAAUUCCGCGUGUAGCAGUGAAAUGCGUAGAUAUGCGGAGGAACGCCGAUGGCGAAGGCAAUCCCCUGGACCUGUACUGACGCUCAUGCACGAAAGCGUGGGGAGCAAACA
rnacentral:rRNA from 1 species